CCUGCACAUUGUUAGAGCUUGGAGUGAGGCCACUGGCUGGCCAAUGAACUCAUGUGUAGGUAGCAUGCUACAUGAGGGUCAAGUCUUUCACUGACACCACCAGGGCCUCUGGCCCAAUGAGUGGAGUUUAAUAGCAAUUUUUGCUAAAAGU
ensembl:snoRNA SNORA62 Small nucleolar RNA SNORA62/SNORA6 family